rnacentral:rRNA from 1 species
CACGUAGUUAGCCGGGGCUUCUUAGUCAGGUACCGCCUUGUCUCGUUCCUGCUGAUAGAGCUUUACAUACCGAAAUACUUCUUCACUCACGCGGCGUCGCUGCAUCAGGGUUUCCCCCCAUUGUGCAAUAUUCCCCACUGCUGCCUCCCGUAGGAGUUUGGGCCGUGUCUCAGUCCCAAUGUGGCCGUCCACCCUCUCAGGCCGGCUACUGAUCGUCGCUUUGGUAGGCCGUUACCCUGCCAACUGGCUAAUCAGACGCGGGUCCAUCCCAUACCACCGGAGUUUUUCACACAGGAGCAUGCGCUCCCGUGCGCUUAUGCGGUAUUAGCACCUGUUUCCAGGUGGUAUCCCCCGGUAUGGGGCAGGUUACCCACGCGUUACUCACCCGUCCGCCGACUAAGAUACAUCCUUCCGGAAUGCAAGCACUCCUUCUUAAUGCAUCCCCGUUCGACUUGCAUGUGUUAAGCACGCCGCCAGCGUUCAUCCUGAGCCGAGGAUACAAACUCUACG